UUUUUAUUUCUAUAGUUUAGGGCCUUGGGCUUGUACAAUUCCCUUUCUGGGAGGGGGUCUUUCAGUAUGAACAACAUCCUCAAAUGUAUACUUUUCACAAGAAUAAUAAGUUAAAUGUUUUUUCAUAUUGAGUUGUGGUGCAGUGGUGCGGAUCAACUCAAAACAGCUAAAAAUGAAGCACUUAUUUCCCAACAACUAUGAACUGAGCUCUGCCCAAGGCUUCGAGAGAGCAGAGGAAAUGGUUCUAAGCUAAACACCCACUGAGUGCUGGCAAGGAGACUGUUACCAAAUUUUGGAAUGCAAGAUCUCCUCCACUCCCAGACACAUAGAACUUUGUUAAAAAAACAUAAACAAGGUAAACAACCACCAGGAAGGAGGCCCAGAGCUACUCCUACCAAGGCAUGUUCUUGGCAUUAGUUUGAAUUCUAGAAGCUUAUCCCUUAGGGAGGUGGCAGCCGGCGGGCUCACACUGGUCUUGGAACCCCUUCCAAGGUCAGAGUUCUCACAUCUGGACUGUAGCUAAGGCUUUCCAGUGAAAGAAAAGAUGGAAUGGUGGUUGGUAGCUGCUGGUGAUGGGCUGAUUCUUUUUUCUUUUAAAACUAGAGUUUCAAACUCUUCUGAGACCUAAACCAAGUGUUUGGUAUUCUUUGUUCUUUCUGCAUCCCAACCGCCCUGUUGUGGGUAUUUUGUUCAUCCAUACGAAAAGUUCGUUAGCUUUUAUUUAAACAAGAACAAAACUUUGCAAUAAUAAUAAUAAUAGUAGUAAUAAUGAUAGUAAUAAUAAUAAUAGAGUGAAACCAGAAAACUGAAAGGGAAGGGGAGGGGCCCCUCCAGGCAGAGUUUGAGUCCAAGUGCUCAGAGGGGCCUGCGGCAGUGUCACUCCCCCAACAGUGCCCCCUGUAACGCCUCUCCCAACCCCUCUCGGGCACCCUUGCCUCAGUCCUCAGAUAUGGAGAGGCGGCUGAAGAUGGGCAAGCGGUGACCAGGGCCCAGCCUGCGGGACUCGGAGCCACUGAGGCUGCGGGAGCUCAGCGAGCCACUCAGCACUUCCUACUUUCGUGACUGUGUGUCAUUUUUAAAGUUCCAAGGAUGGAUGAGGCCUAAAAUUCACUCCAGAAUGUUCUAGACUGAACUCCAGGACCAUAACAAUGUUUGAUAUAUACUUUUCAAGAGCCAGCAGAGUGAGGAGCAAAUCCCUAAGGAAAGAAAGGAGACUGGCUGUGGUUCAGAAGGAAGAACUUAAAACACAGUGACUGGAAAAGAAAAAGGAAUUGACCUUCAAAAGAAGGAUUUUGGAGACCCUCAGAUGUCAACGAGGGUGCUGAGGGUACCUGGAAGAGAAUGGGGGACAAGAGAUUCGAAGAAGGACGCCAAGACAAAAGUCUGAUCAAGGCGACAAUUUUAUUUUAUCCCAAGGCUGAAUUUAUACCAUAACAGGGGUAACAGGGAAAGGAGGGAAGUGGGAAACACAGUAUUUGUGUGGUCAGCUGAUGUCCACAGGAUGUUAGAAAGGUCACAGGUUUGUCAAAUCUAUUGGUCAGCAGGAUGUUGGUUUCUCAGAAAGGUUACAGGUUACAUCACAUUGGGCAUCUUGACAUCAGAUGUAUUUCUCAGCAAGGUCACAACUUUAUCAUAUCAUUAUUCAUCCUGACCACCAGAUUUGUAUUAGUCUUCUGCAGCUGGCUGGGGAUUUUCCAUGAGCCCAGCCAUACUUAACUCUAACCAUAAUAAUAACAUCAAUAAUGGAGGGUUUCAAGGGCAUCACUCCCAACACUCAGAGGUACAGACACCCCUGAGAACCCAGAGGAGGCUACUCUCUGCUCACAUUCCCGACUCAAGAGGAAAACACC
ensembl:lncRNA